rfam:Allomyces macrogynus ATCC 38327 genomic scaffold supercont3.2, whole genome shotgun sequence.
CUUCCGGCUUUUAUCAAAGCCACAAUUAUUGCUCGAUAAAAAGCA